GCCGGGGAGCUUUAGGAAUAAGAUCCUUCGAAACAGGUCAGGACCGGAAGGUAGCAGCCUUAAGAAGAAUGUCUUAUGCCUUAAGAUUUCUCCGGCUUU
rnacentral:SRP_RNA from 1 species